rnacentral:rRNA from 1 species
GCGUGUGUGAAGAAGGCCUUCGGGUUGUAAAGCACUUUCACUCGUGAAGAUGAUGACGGUAGCGAGAGAAGAAGCCCCGGCUAACUCCGUGCCAGCAGCCGCGGUAAUACGGAGGGGGCUAGCGUUGUUCGGAAUUACUGGGCGUAAAGGGCGCGUAGGCGGCUCUGCCAGUCAGGCGUGAAAGCCCCGGGCUUAACCUGGGAACUGCGCUUGAUACUGCAGAGCUAGAGUUCGGGAGAGGAGAGUGGAAUUCCCAGUGUAGAGGUGAAAUUCGU